AGACCCGAAACCCGGUGAUCUAGCCAUGGGCAGGUUGAAGGUUGGGUAACACUAACUGGAGGACCGAACCGACUAAUGUUGAAAAAUUAGCGGAUGACCUGUGGCUGGGGGUGAAAGGCCAAUCAAACCGGGAGAUAGCUGGUUCUCCCCGAAAGCUAUUUAGGUAGCGCCUCGUGAAUUCAUCUCCGGGGGUAGAGCACUGUUUCGGCUAGGGGGCCAUCCCGGCUUACCAACCCGAUGCAAACUGCGAAUACCGGAGAAUGUUAUCACGGGAGACACACGGCGGGUGCUAACGUCCGUCGUGAAGAGGGAAACAACCCAGACCGCCAGCUAAGGUCCCAAAGUCAUGGUUAAGUGGGAAACGAUGUGGGAAGGCCCAGACAGCCAGGAUGUUGGCUUAGAAGCAGCCAUCAUUUAAAGAAAGCGUAAUAGCUCACUGGUCGAGUCGGCCUGCGCGGAAGAUGUAACGGGGCUAAACCAUGCACCGAAGCUGCGGCAGCGACGCUGAUGCGUUGUUGGGUAGGGGAGCGUUCUGUAAGCCUGCGAAGGUGACCUGUGAGGGUUGCUGGAGGUAUCAGAAGUGCGAAUGCUGACAUAAGUAACGAUAAAGCGGGUGAAAAGCCCGCUCGCCGGAAGACCAAGGGUUCCUGUCCAACGUUAAUCGGGGCAGGGUGAGUCGACCCCUAAGGCGAGGCCGAAAGGCGUAGUCGAUGGGAAACGGGUUAAUAUUCCCGUACUUGGUGUUACUGCGAAGGGGGGACGGAGAAGGCUAUGUUGGCCGGGCGACGGUUGUCCCGGUUUAAGCGUGUAGGUGUGUGUUCCAGGUAAAUCCGGUUCACUUUAACACUGAGGCGUGAUGACGAGGCACUACGGUGCUGAAGCAACAAAUGCCCUGCUUCCAGGAAAAGCCUCUAAGCAUCAGGUAACAUCAAAUCGUACCCCAAACCGACACAGGUGGUCAGGUAGAGAAUACCAAGGCGCUUGAGAGAACUCGGGUGAAGGAACUAGGCAAAAUGGUGCCGUAACUUCGGGAGAAGGCACGCUGACACGUAGG
rnacentral:rRNA from 1 species